rnacentral:miRNA from 1 species
GGCUUCUUCCCAACACCAGGGU